AUUGAACGCUGGCGGCAGGCCUAACACAUGCAAGUCGAACGAGCGGCGGACGGGUGAGUAAUGUAUGGGAAUCUGCCCGAUAGAGGGGGAUAACUACUGGAAACGGUGGCUAAUACCGCAUACGAUCGGAUGAACCCAUAUGGGAUUAGCGAGUAGGUGGGGUAAAGGCUCACCUAGGCGACGAUCCCUAGCUGGUCUGAGAGGAUGAUCAGCCACACUGGGACUGAGACACGGACCAGACUCCUACGGGAGGCAGCGGUGGGGAAUAUUGCACAAUGGGCGCAAGCCUGAAGCAGCCAUGCCGCGUGUGUGAAGAAGGCCUUCGGGUUGUAAAGUACUUUGAGCGGGGAGGCGUUACCCGAAGAAGAAGCACCGGCUAACUCCGUGCCAGCAGCCGCGGUAAUUC
rnacentral:rRNA from 1 species